UCCGCGGUAGCUCAAUGGUAGAGCAGUUGCCUGUUAAGCAUCUGGUUGGAGGUUCGAAUCCUCCCCGCGGAGCCA
rnacentral:tRNA from 1 species